rnacentral:rRNA from 1 species
UACGUAGGUUGCGAGCGUUAUUCGGAUUUACUGGGCGUAAAGAGCACCGAGGUGGCUUCUUAAGUUGGAUGUAAAAUCUCCUGGCUUAACUGGGAGGCGCCAUUCAAAACUGAGGAGCUUGAGGUCAGCAGGGGAAGGUGGAAUUCCCGGUGUAGUGGUGGAAUGCGUAGAGAUCGGGAGGAACACCGGUGGCGAAAGCGGCUCACUGGACCUGAUCUGACACUGAGGUGCGAAAGCUAGGGUAGCAAACGGG